AUGUUUUCAGAUUCGAAAUUUUUAUAUUUUUUUUUUUGAAAUUUUUUUUUUGAAAUUUGUUUUUAUUUUUUUUUCAAAUUUUCUUUUUAUAAUUUAAAAAUACUUUUUAAAACUGUUUUAAAAAUUUUUAUUUUUAUUUUUUAUUUUUUAUAAAAUUUUAAACCUAAUUCCAAAACCCCACCCCUUAACUCUAAACCCUAAGGUUUGGAUUAAUUAACCCAAGAGGUAUAAGUGUAUAUUUACCUCUUUAAUGAAACCUAUUUUUGUGAAUUUGAGCCUUGAGUGCUACUUUGGGAACAAAAACUUGGUUUGGUGUUAUCCUAGUCUUUUUCUCUUUAUUAAAUUAGUUUGAUCUGCAUUUGUUCUGCUUGAUCUGCAUGAUCUGCAUUUGUUCUGCAUGAUCUGCAUGUUGUGUUUGAUCUGCGUUUAUUUGAUCUGCGUUCCAUUAGAAGCCUAUUAGUUACAGUGUGGGAUCACGCUAUAAUCACUUGGGUACUCCCCCAGAACUGAUAGUUGAUUUGACUAAUCACAGGCGUGUAUAGUGCCAAUUUUUUUAGCAAUGCUUAGAAAAUCGUGCUGGAUACUAACUAUAGUACAUGAGCCACGCCUCUCUUCAGCUUAACAUCUUCCCAAUCAAGUAGCUAAUCUAUUAUGGACCUAAAACUAAAAGCCCAUUAACGUCGAACAGUUUCAAUUAAAUUAGAAGCCCAGGCGGAUGCCUAUGUUCUCAAAUUCAAAUUCUCGUAUGUAUCAUAUUGUUCUUUUUUUACCUUAAACUGUCAUUUUCUUUACUAACAUUGCAUGUUUCAUUAAAAACAAUCAAGUAAUAUUAAUAACACAUCUAUAUUAGGUCAUUUUUUCGGAUCCAGCCCACAUCAGAUCUCUCUUGGGCCAUUUGGUUCGAUUAAGAAAUCAUAUUCAAUUCUCACAUUUUUUUUCUUUGGGCCAUUGAAGUCAAGUUCAAAUAAUUUCUUUUCAACUAUUCUUAAUUAUUAUUUUUUUAUUAAUAUAAUUU
rnacentral:lncRNA from 1 species